rnacentral:misc_RNA from 1 species
UUUCCGUAGGUGAACCUGCGGAAGGAUCAUUCAUAAUAAGUGUUUUACUGCACUUUUUAAAAAUAGUACUCACCUUGUGUGCAAUGUUGUGAUUCUUUUCGGAGAAACACAUACACCAACCUAUAACCUUGAACCACUUUGUCUGAAAAACUAUUAUGAAUACUUAAUUCAAAAUACAACUUUCAACAACGGAUCUCUUGGCUCUC